UACGUAGGGUCCGAGCGUUGUCCGGAAUUACUGGGCGUAAAGGGCGCGUAGGCGGCCCGCUAAGUCGAACGUGAAAUCCCCGGGCUCAACCCAGGGAACGUGCGUCCGAGACUGGAAGGCGUCGAAUCCGGGGAGAGGGAUGUGGAAGUUCCAGGUGUAGCGGUGAAAUGCGUAGAUAUCGGGAGGAACAUCAGUGGCGAAGGCGGCUACCUGGCCCAAUACUGACACUCAGGUGCGACAGCGUGGGGAGCAAACAGG
rnacentral:rRNA from 1 species